rnacentral:rRNA from 1 species
GUAGGUGGCAAGCGUUGUCCGGAAUUAUUGGGGCGUAAAGCGCGCGCAGGCGGUUCUUUAAGUCUGAUGUGAAAGCCCACGGGCUCAACCGUGGAGGGUCAUUGGAAACUGGAGAACUUGAGUACAGAAGAGGAAAGCGGAAUUCCGCGUGUAGCGGUGAAAUGCGUAGAGAUGUGGAGGAACACCAGUGGCGAAGGCGGCUUUCUGGUCUGUAACUGACGCUGAGGCGCGAAAGCGUGGGGAGCAAACAGGAUUAGAUACCCUGGUAGUCCACGCCGUAAACGAUGAGUGCUAAGUGUUAGGGGGUUUCCGCCCCUUAGUGCUGCAGCUAACGCAUUAGGCACUCCGCCUGGGGAGUACGGCCGCAAAGGCUG